CCGACCCUACGGGGCGCAGCAGUAGGGAAUCUUCCACAAUGGACGAAAGUCUGAUGGAGCAACGCCGCGUGAGUGAAGAAGGGUUUCGGCUCGUAAAGCUCUGUUGGUAGUGAAGAAAGAUAGAGGUAGUAACUGGCCUUUAUUUGACGGUAAUUACUUAGAAAGUCACGGCUAACUACGUGCCAGCAGCCGCGGUAAUACGUAGGUGGCAAGCGGUGUCCGGAUUUAUUGGGCGGAAAGCGAGUGCAGGCGGGUCAAUAAGUCUG
rnacentral:rRNA from 1 species